AGCGAACGCUGGCGGCAGGCCUAACACAUGCAAGUCGAACGAAGUCUUCGGACUUAGUGGCGGACGGGUGAGUAACACGUGGGAACGUACCUUUUGGUUCGGAACAACUCAGGGAAACUUGAGCUAAUACCGGAUGAGCCCUUAGGGGGAAAGAUUUAUCGCCGAAAGAGCGGCCCGCGUUAGAUUAGCUAGUUGGUGAGGAAAAGGCUCACCAAGGCUACGAUCUAUAGCUGGUCUGAGAGGGUGAUCAGCCACACUGGGACUGAGACACGGCCCAGACUCCUACGGGAGGCAGCAGUGGGGAAUCUUGCGCAACGUGCGAAAGCCUGACGCAGCCAUGCCGCGUGAAUGAUGAAGGUCUUAGGAUUGUAAAAUUCUUUUACCAGGGACGAUAAUGACGGUACCUGGAGAAAAAGCCCCGGCUAACUUCGUGCCAGCCGCCGCAGUAACAC
rnacentral:rRNA from 1 species